rnacentral:misc_RNA from 1 species
GAUGAAGAACGUAGCGAAAUGCGAUAAGUAAUGUGAAUUGCAGAAUUCAGUGAAUCAUCGAAUCUUUGAACGCACAUUGCGCCCGCCAGUAUUCUGGCGGGCAUGCCUGUUCGAGCGUCAUUUCAACCCUCAGGCCCCCAGUGCCUGGUGUUGGGGAUCGGCAGCAGGGCGUCAAGCCCGCCGGCCCCGAAAUCUAGUGGCGGUCUCGCUGUAGUCCUCCUCUGCGUAGUAGCACAACCUGGCAGUUGGAACGCGGCGGUGGCCAUGCCGUUAAACACCCCACUUCUGAAAGUUGACCUCGGAUCAGGUAGGAAUACCCGCUGAACUUAAGCAUACAAUAAGCGGAGGA